rnacentral:rRNA from 1 species
CCUACGGGAGGCAGCAGUGGGGAAUUUUGGACAAUGGGCGCAAGCCUGAUCCAGCAAUGCCGCGUGAGUGAAGAAGGCCUUCGGGUUGUAAAGCUCUUUUGUCAGGGAAGAAACGGUGGGGGCUAAUAUCCUCCACUAAUGACGGUACCUGAAGAAUAAGCACCGGCUAACUACGUGCCAGCAGCCGCGGUAAUACGUAGGGUGCAAGCGUUAAUCGGAAUUACUGGGCGUAAAGCGUGCGCAGGCGGUUUUGUAAGUCUGUCGUGAAAGCCCCGGGCUCAACCUGGGAAUUGCGAUGGAGACUGCAAGGCUUGAAUCUGGCAGAGGGGGGUAGAAUUCCACGUGUAGCAGUGAAAUGCGUAGAGAUGUGGAGGAACACCGAUGGCGAAGGCAGCCCCCUGGGUCAAGAUUGACGCUCAUGCACGAAAGCGUGGGGAGCAAACAGGAUUAGAUACCCUGGUAGUCCACGCCCUAAACGAUGUCUACUAGUUGUCGGGUUUUAAUUAACUUGGUAACGCAGCUAACGCGUGAAGUAGACCGCCUGGGGAGUACGGUCGCGAAGAUUAAAACUUCAAAGUAGUUAGUUAGGCGUUGAGAGUGCGACGGACGACACGAGGGAGGAGGAG